rnacentral:tRNA from 1 species
UAAUCAAUGAGCUUGAACAUAAAGCGUAUGUUUUGAAAACAUAAGAUAAAAAAGUUUUUAUUGAUUU